UCGUAUAGAAACUGAAAUGUAUUUUAGCUAGUAAAGUCCCACAUCGGGGAAAACAAACGUUUGCUUGUUGUAUAUAUAAGUAUAGCUCACUCACACUGUACGUCGAGCUUGGUAACGCGGGCUUGUAAUCCAAGUAGAGACGAUAAGGUGAUGGGACAUUGGGCCGAUCUCUUUGGGCCGGACUCGGUUACGGCUAUCUACUGGCCUGCCCGUUCCAAGUCGGGAGUUGAGUGUUCGGACUCGAGCGAAAGCUUGUGGUUCGGACACUCUUAGAGCGGAGGAGACUGCGUGAGGCUGGUUUCACAGAGCAGCGUCCACCUCCCGCUUUCGACGGUGGAAGGAUUACGGGCCGGUGCCUCCCAAGCCCACUAUGACCCAAUAAGCCGGCUCCAAUUGGACCAUCACUUUUUAAUUUUUUUCACCACAAACUGGGCCAAAAGAUCCAUUACCAAAAAACCCUUAGACGAAUCGUUUUCACUGUUCAUCUUCUCUCCGAUCUGACACAAACUGUUGUUGUAGGAGAAGUUAGAUCCUUCGAGGCCGUUGAGCAAGAAUAAGCAUUGGGUUGUUGCUGAGAUCAUCAAGAAAGCUCGCAUCUAUUCUCCUCAAGCCGCUGCUAUUGCUGCUUCUGCAUCAACUUCCUCGGCCUCCAUUGCGGACUCUACUGCUCCAUCCUCUACCUCUUAAGUUUUGUUAGGAGUCUGCAUGCAUCGAGAAGGGAGAUGUGUCGCUUGGAUACUGGAUUUCAUGAAAUGCUAACGAAGAUGGCUUUGUUCCGAUCAACAUAUUCGAUCAAACUUGAUGUUUCAGGAUGGUGUUUGUUUUUCCUGGGAUAAUGUAGUGAAAAUGUUAUGAAUAGGAGUAUUAGUAAACUCUCAGUUGGUGGUGAGCUUUUGAUGUCCUGUUACGUCAUUUUCGUAACAUAUGUGCAUGAAUGAAACAAUGAGUGAACCUUCUUGAUGAUGGAGAAUGCUUCUUUGUUAUACAAAAAUCAGCUUUUUCACUCU